rnacentral:lncRNA from 1 species
CCUGCUGUAAAUGGCAAAUCAUGAUAUUUAUGUCAAACCUAUGCUAGUUUCCCAGUGCAUCAUCUGUCUCAGACUCUCAGUACAUGUUGAUGCACUACUGUACUCUCAAAUUCCACCUUCUUUCUACUGAAAGAAAAGCAAGCAAAGCAAGGCUUUGAGUCCAAAAUUUUGGGACCCACUUGCAACGUUUCUUUCUACUGACAAAGUCACAAAAAUGUACCAGA